CACAUCCACACUGGUUUUGAGUUGACAGGAUGUGGUUCAGAGGCGACCUAACCUUCUCCAUCUCCAAAUGUCAGGGACAGGCUGCAGGAGGGAGAGCCUGCCAGGGAUGAAUCAGUGAGAGAGGGGUUUGUUUGUUUUUAUUUUCCCAGAAGAAGAAAAAAAACCCAGCAGUGCCAUCUCUUCUCCCCCUCUUUUUCCUGGAACUCUGAAGUUUGGCUUUUGUUGGAUUAAUGACCCCUAAGUUCCCACCUCGGUUUCUGGGAUCAAGUCCCUUAGCCACUCAGCACCUUGGCCCACUGGGCAGCCGACUGACAGUGAGGGUUGAGCUCACGUGGCAGCUGUGGGGGGCUCAAUGGAGUCUCUUCUGAAGGUGGAGACAGGUCUGCUGGAGCCCAGACUCACCCCCUCUGGAGCCAUUACACAACCUGCUGUCACUUCCAGCUUCGAGUCUCUGUUUCAGCUUCUGUUGUCUCUCUACCCUGCAAACUCCUAGUCACCAUACAAAACCCAAUCUUGUCGGUCACCGUUGGCGUCGCCACAUGAGUUUGCUGUCUGCUGCCCUUGGAUCGCAGGCUCAAUCCCCGAGGGUAAGGAUUAUACUUGUUGGCUCAGAGAACUGAGCCAAUUCCAGUGUCUGGCAUAGCUGUAGAAUGGAAUGCUUCAUCUCUGGAAGAAAGGAAAGCUGGCCCCACCGAGACAUCUGGGCGCAUCUGAACACACAAGCCUGCUGUGUGCCCUAAGUCUGUCACCGUGAACAUAACGCUGUCUCUGUGGCUUCACCCAACCUAAGCCUUAAAAUGGUUGGACCACCCUGGGUCUUUGGGUUUGCAGUCUUGGCUCCUGUGUCAUGCAAAGCUAUAGUGGAAUAAACUUGUCUUGCUUA
rnacentral:lncRNA from 1 species